rnacentral:rRNA from 1 species
GCAUAUCAAUAAGCGGAGGAAAAGAAACCAACAGGGAUUGCCUUAGUAGCGGCGAGUGAAGCGGCAAAAGCUCAAAUUUGAAAUCUGGCUCUUUCAGAGUCCGAGUUGUAAUUUGAAGAAGGUAUCUUUGGGUCUGGCUCUUGUCUAUGUUUCUUGGAACAGAACGUCACAGAGGGUGAGAAUCCCGUGCGAUGAGAUGAUCCAGGCCUAUGUAAAGUUCCUUCGAAGAGUCGAGUUGUUUGGGAAUGCAGCUCUAAGUGGGUGGUAAAUUCCAUCUAAAGCUAAAUAUUGGCGAGAGACCGAUAGCGAACAAGUACAGUGAUGGAAAGAUGAAAAGAACUUUGAAAAGAGAGUGAAAAAGUACGUGAAAUUGUUGAAAGGGAAGGGCUUGAGAUCAGACUUGGUAUUUUGUAUGUUACUUCUUCGGGGGUGGCCUCUACAGUUUAUCGGGCCAGCAUCAGUUUGGGCGGUAGGAGAAUUGCGUUGGAAUGUGGCACGGCUUCGGUUGUGUGUUAUAGCCUUCGUCGAUACUGCCAGCCUAGACUGAGGACUGCGGUUUAUACCUAGGAUGUUGGCAUAAUGAUCUUAAGUCGCCCGUCUUGAAACACGGACAC